UACAGAGGGUGCGAGCGUUAAUCGGAAUUACUGGGCGUAAAGCGCGCGUAGGCGGCUUCGCAAGUCGGGUGUGAAAUCCCCAGGCUUAACCUGGGAACUGCAUUCGAGACUGCAUUGCUAGAGUAUGGGAGAGGGAAGUGGAAUUUCCGGUGUAGCGGUGAAAUGCGUAGAUAUCGAGAGGAACACCUGCGGCGAAGGCGGGUUGCUGGGCUGACACUGACGCUGAUGCGCGAAAGCCAGGGGAGCGAACGGG
rnacentral:rRNA from 1 species